GCACGGGAGAGUAACGUGUAUCCAACCUGCCCACCACUUGGGGAUAACCUUGCGAAAGUAAGACUAAUACCCAAUGACGUCUCUAGAAGACAUCUGAAAGAGAUUAAAGAUUUAUCGGUGAUGGAUGGGGAUGCGUCUGAUUAGCUUGUUGGCGGGGUAACGGCCCACCAAGGCAACGAUCAGUAGGGGUUCUGAGAGGAAGGUCCCCCACAUUGGAACUGAGACACGGUCCAAACUCCUACGGGAGGCAGCAGUGAGGAAUAUUGGUCAAUGGACGAGAGUCUGAACCAGCCAAGUAGCGUGCAGGAUGACGGCCCUAUGGGUUGUAAACUGCUUUUAUAAGGGAAUAAAGUGAGUCUCGUGAGACUUUUGCAUGUACCUUAUGAAUAAGGACCGGCUAAUUCCGUGCCAGCAGCCGCGGUAAUACGGAAGGUCCGGGCGUUAUCCGGAUUUAUUGGGUUUAAAGGGAGCGUAGGCCGGAGAUUAAGCGUGUCGUGAAAUGUAGACGCUCAACGUCUGCACUGCAGCGCGAACUGGUUUCCUUGAGUACGCACAAAGUGGGCGGAAUUCGUGGUGUAGCGGUGAAAUGCUUAGAUAUCACGAAGAACUCCGAUUGCGAAGGCAGC
rnacentral:rRNA from 1 species